rnacentral:rRNA from 1 species
GACUUCGGUCACUAGUAGAGCGGCGAACGGGUGAGUAACACGUGGACAACCUGCCCAGUAGUGGGGGACAACUUGGGGAAACCUAAGCUAAUACCGCAUACGUUCCAUCGGCCUCGGUCGGUGGGGGAAAGAUCGCCUAUCCUUGGAAGCGGUCGCUAUUGGAGGGGUCCGCGGCUGAUUAGCUAGUUGGUGAGGUAAUGGCUCACCAAGGCGACGAUCAGUAGCCGGCCUGAGAGGGCGAUCGGCCACACUGGAACUGAGACACGGUCCAGACUCCUACGGGAGGCAGCAGUGGGGAAUAUUGGACAAUGGGGGAAACCCUGAUCCAGCAACGCCGCGUGGAGGAUGAAAGCCUUCGGGUUGUAAACUCCUGUCAAGUGGAGCGAAAAGCAUCGGCAAAUAACCGAUGUCUAUGACGGUACCACUAGAGGAAGCCCCGGCUAACUCCGUGCCAGCAGCCGCGGUAAUACGGAGGGGGCAAGCGUUAUUCGGAAUUAUUGGGUGUAAAGGGCGCGUAGGCGGCCAUGCAAGUCAGGGGUGAAAUCCCUCGGCUCAACCGAGGAACUGCCUCUGAAACUGCAUGGCUUGAGACCGGGAGAGGGUGGUGGAAUUCCUAGUGUAGCGGUGAAAUGCGUAGAUAUUAGGAGGAA